CACACUGGAGAUUGUUUCCUUUUCAUUUCCUUCUUUUUGGAAAAAUGUAUUAAUAAAAGAUCAACAUUCAGGGAUCUUGCACCGAUCGUCACAUAUAACCUGUAAUCCACCCCACUGUGACCAUCUGGACAUUGUUCAAAGGAAGGCCCUCGAUGGCUGAAGACAGGAAGAAAUUGAGAAAAGCAAUGAUUGGGUAAAAUCAGUUGCCUAGCCCACCAUCAUAUAGUUAUCAUCGUGUGUGUGUGUGUGUGUGUG